rnacentral:lncRNA from 1 species
CAGGCCAAAAAUUAUCUAAGGCUUUAUCACAUUUCAUUUGCAUCAAGAUAGCCCUCAUUUUCUGGCUCCACUUAUUAAAGUCCCCCCUCCCAUCAUACAUGCUCACUUCAAACUUAGCAGUAGCCAUGACAAGAUUCACCAAGACAGUUCACAGAACACAAGUUUGAAUUCAAGAACAUACAGGGAUACAUAAUAAUAGUACUGUAGGCAGAACAGGGGAUUUGGGGUCAGUGACCAAUGCACUUAUAUUAUUUUCACAAAAUGGUAAACACUUAAUACUAAGUAUAGAAGGCAGAAUCACAAAGAAUAGAGAUGACAAUCCUAUGCCUCAACUAAAUUCUCCAGCAAGACCUUCCAAUUGCAUUCCUGCUAGUGUUGUUAUCUCAGAUUCCGAAGACUUCUUUAGUCUUUGGACAAAGACCAGCCAUAGUAGGUUUUGUUACUGCAAGGGAAAAAUUAGGAGACCCUACUGUAAAGAUUAAUUGCCGAAUGCAGGAAAGAUCUCACCAAUGAGUUUGAUAAAACUCAAUUUCCACCGGCUAAUGUUUAUUGUCGGUUUCAGGAAUAGGGUUUAAUCAAGAAAUCACAAAGCUCCAGUAGUCCAGCUUGCUCUGAUACCAUUGAAAAGUCGAGAGAUAUCAAUAUUAACCAAGAUUCCAAAAAAAAAAAAAAACAAUCAUAAACUGAAAAUAAAGUGCAAGAAAUAAAAAUGAAAAAAAGGAUUUUUUUUGCCGAAGCCCCAGAGGUUCGGCGACAACUUAUAACGCCUAAUUCCCUGUUGAGCAUCCAUUAAAAUGGAUAAAGCUCGAUUGCACUAUAAAGCCCCAAAAUCAGGCACCAAAAAUUAUAAGAAUGUUCCAACAAUUACAAGAAAUAAAGUCACCAAGACUUAUCUUUAAAAUGAAACACAAAUCAAGCCUCACUCCACUAAGGAAUCAAGAAACCCGGAUCACACAGGUGCCAAAAACAAACUGCCCUCUUCGAACCACAGAAGAAUGAGUGCUAAUACACAGUGUAUCACUUUCUACCGAGAGACUAUAUACAAAAUCACAAAGAUUUCAUGGAAAUUUGAACUUCCAACAUGAAUCACGCAGAUUCGUACACCAUACCAAAAAACCCAGUAUAUUAACACAAGUAAAUGGAGUAGAACUUCAUCAUCCCUCAAGUAUACACCUGAGAAUCACUCAAGAUUGGCUUGAAUAUGUGAAGAAGAGGGAUUUCAUACACAGAGAAGAAGAGAGAUGAAGAGACGACCCCAAACCCUAGAGAAAAUCUCUCAAAUCUGAAAAUGUAAGAAUAAAGUCUCUCUCUCCAAUCUGAAAAAUCACGUUCCCAGUAGAGAGUCACAAGAUUUCAUAAUUGGAAGUCUCUAGAAUCUGAUCGGAUGGUCAUCU